CUGAGAUCGCUAUUUCAGACCUAAAAGAGAAUCACCGAACAGUAUUUCUGCAAAAACGGAGUAAAAUCGACCUUCGUUGAUACGUUUUCAGAAACAAACAAACUGUUUGCCUCACAGAGUCAGAUCCUUUAAAUUCUGAUCUGCCAGUUCCUCAAGUUACGGCUCGACCGCUCUUCCUCAGAAGAAUCGGACGCUGUAAUCAAGGUUCUGCGAACACGAUUGUGCUGAUAAAUGUGGUAUCCUAUCAGAGUAUUGCAGAUUACUAUCACACACGACAGCAGAUAUUGCCGUUUUUUUUUACCAUUUCAUAGAACAUGGUCUUAUACAGAUAAAACAUAUAUAAAAUGCUGCGUAAAAUCGCUAGUCCCAUCAGCGUGAUUACCACAAUUUUUGCUCGUUUGACAGUGCACCAGAAUCAACGUAGAAGCGGAUACUUUGUCACUAUGAAUCUCUCGAUGGUAAAGGCUACUAUAAGCCACACACUCAAAAAUUCGGAAAAAAAGUACAGAAAGUCCAAGAAAACUAAGUUAUAAUUUGAUAGAUCUAUAUGCAUUAUUUGGAGCCAAUUAAUGAGUGAUAUCAUCAAAUAGACGAUGUCGCUCAUUGCUAACACGCCCAAGUAAAUGUUGGACGAAAAAGAACGCAUCUUUUUACGGAAGAGUACAAUAGCGGACAAACAGUUUCCUAAAAGACCGAGCAUAAUAAAAAUCGGUUGACAGUACUUUCUGAUAUUUGAAUUGGCGUUCGAACUAUUUACAAUUACAUAGUACAGCUCAAAAACAAUAUAAAAUUCAUUUAUGAUGUGAGUGAUGGGAAAAUGUCUGCCAACAAUAUCUUUGUUACAUAAAUCUUUGACAUUUUUAAUUCUACUUGUAUUCAUAAGUAAACGAUUCAUCAUGGUUUUCCGUCUUCUGUCGAUAUAAACGUUGGUAACAAAUUCAGCCAGGCUACGUAAACUGUCGCCAAGAUCUCUUUCGUUGUUACAAACACGCAAUCGUAGUUUGUGUUUAGAUAUACUGGAAUAAUCUUUGCCGAGAUUAUUUUCAGAAAACAUCCUUCUAUAUGUUUAUGGAUUGUUUGCAACAGUUGCUUAUGAGAUAAAGAGCAAAAAGCGAUAUAAUCAAGUUGCGUCUUGCGUCUGAAAAACGUUAUAACGUUAUUAUA